rnacentral:lncRNA from 1 species
GUAAAAUUAUAUGGCCAGAUGGUUUGCUUUGUGAAAUAUUAAUCUUCCUUCCUUCCCUGGCCUCUCCUCUUCCUUUGUAGGGCAGCUGAACUCAAGAACAUUCACUACCAUGAGGAAGGGAUGACCCAGUGGAAACCGGAUGUCCCUUGCUGCUUUUUGGGUAUCAAAACUGCAGCAUGGGCGUGUCCCCUGAGGAGGGGUGAAAGGAACCCCGAGGUCUUCUCUUCCCAUGGCCUGCACGGAGCAGGAGCUGAAACUCAGAGAGGACGAUGCGUUUGCUACAGAUCUUGAGUAGUCCAGAAACCAGCCCGAUGCGUGUGAAAUGUCAAACCGCAUGUAGCUUUUGGACAAGUACGUUUGAGUCCACAGAAAGAGCUUCUGAGAAUGUCACAGCUUGCCCGAACAAGAGCCUCUGACUUUGAAAAGUGCAGGUCCUGAGGCCAGGAGAGAGGACUGUGUGAGGGCCUCUGAGCCCUACUCGGUGCUGCCCCGGGGCAAAAGGAACAAAACGGGGAACAGGGCCGCCGGCUGCCUGGACUGGAAUCCCAGCUCAGACCUGGGGGGAACUGACCCUGAGGAAACAAUGUGCAUUGAUCGGUCAGCUUUCCCGGUGCUGGGACAAAAUACCCAGGACCUGUAGCUUAAAGGAGGAGAGACUAUGGCUCACGGCUUGAGAGGGUUCCAUCCCUGGUUGGCUGGGACCAAGGCAGAGCAUCAUGGUGGAAGAGAACUUCCAUGGUGAAAGAGAACCAUGAACUAAGCAGAGUUGCUUAGUUCAUGGUAGCCAGGAGACAGAGCAAGGAGCAGUGCCAAUAAGGAAGCGGCCAGGGACCAGAUAUAGACCCCAGAUCACCUCUCUGUGACCCACCGAGACACCCAGAAGUGCACUCAGCAAUGCCCGAGGUGGCUCCUAAGCCAAUCCAGUUGUCAGUUCCCCUUAAAAUUGCUAGCUGGGAUGUCUGACACAGGUGUCCUCUAUCCUAUUAUGUCCUGGAAGGAAGCACCUGAAGCAACCUAGAUGUCCAACAGCAGGGGACUGUUUCCAUGUACCAUGUUCCAUGUUGGCUGGUUAGAUUCUAGGACACAAGACAACUGUUAAACAGUGAUGUUCUAGAAAAGGUGUCUAUGGCAUGGGAACAUGUUCUAGGCAUAAAGGUAAGGGUAAAGUAGAUUACAACGCAGAGCAUGCCAUCUGAUCCCAAC